UGGAUCACUCUUGAUGCAUCGAGAAAAUAAGAUGCAUCAGAAAUGCAUUUCAAUGCAAUCGUUCUCUAAACUCAUGGUUUGCUGUAAUUUUUGACUCUAGGUUUGAUUGAUUGUUGAUGAAAUGUCAAAAUUGUCCUUACUUAAUUUACUAUUGUGGCUGCUAUCUGCUGCAUUAAUCAUCAAAAGCAUUGGCCAUUCAGAGGAAUUAGCACUUCCAGAGUUCUCAAUCCAAUAUUAAUUUUUCCGGAUCUUUUUGUGGAUAGUUCCAUUGCCAAAAAAUAGGAUAUUUCAUCGCCCAGCUUGCAACAGAGGUGAUAAAUCUGUUUCGCAUAACCACGAUCCACCGUGAUGGACAAUAGCCAAAAUGGGGAGAGUGGAAAUAAAGGGAGGGCAUGAUUGGCGAACUCAUUAAGGAAGAUGUCCGAAUCCAUGAAGACAUUAUAAUAUAGCAAAUUGUAAACCAGAAUGAGUAAAUCAGAAUCCUUGCCAGAAUCAACACUGGCGGAGGGUGCUGUUAUGGAUGGAAACAGUUGUGAAAGAACCCUCAGGAGACUGUUUGGGAAUCUCUCCAAUGGACAUGGAUCUAAAUUUAUAUUCAUAAUUUUGAUUGUCAGUUCUGUAUUUAUGAAGUAAAGUUUAUGCAUAAACAUGGGAGAGGGAGGUGGUCUCA